rnacentral:rRNA from 1 species
AUUGAACGCUGGCGGCAGGCCUAACACAUGCAAGUCGAACGAGUGGCGGACGGGUGUGUAAUGUCUGGGAAACUGCCCGUUGGAGGGGGAUAACUACUGGAAACGGUAGCUAAUACCGCCUACCAUCACAUGUGCCCUGAUGGAGUUAGCUUGUUGGUGGGGUAAAGGCUCACCAAGGCGCCGAUCCCUAGCUGGUCUGAGAGGUGGACCGGCAACACGGGACCGGGGACACGGUCAGGACGCCAACGGGGGGCAGAAGUGGGGAAUAUUGGAAAAUGGGCGAAGGCCUGACCCAGCCAUGCGGCGUGUGGGAAGAGGGUCUUCGGAUGGUAAAGCACUUUAAGUUGGGAGGCGUUACCAACAGAAUAAGCGCCGGCUAACUCCGUGCCAGCAGCCGCGGUAAUAC